rnacentral:misc_RNA from 1 species
UUAAUGUCUUUUAUUAGACAACGGGGGGCUUUGUACGCGUUACCUUUCAGUUUAUGAAUUGUAGCGCCUGCAGCCCCUGUCUGAACCCGUGUUUUUGCGUACUGCUUGUUUCCUUGGUGGGCUUGCCUGCCAAAUGGACCACAUUAAACCCUUGUAAUUGCAAUCAGCGUCAGAAAAAUAAUAAUAAUUACAACUUUCAACAACGGAUCUCUUGGCUCU